UCACGGUGAAACUUUGUAAACAACUUCUACACGCUGGUUUAAAGCUCGUCCGCCGUAUUUACUACGAAACAGCGCGGUGGUGCUGCAGCCGAGAGACGCAAACGACUCAAAACAGACGCAAACACAAUUCAAAAAUCUAUGAAGGUAAGAAGAAUAAUGUCACGCAAACCAGAGAGAAGCAGCACCAGAAAGGCCAGCAAGGCAAGAAUUAAGACCAAAGCCUGGAUCAGGCUCUUUAUGGGAUCCCUGAGUGACAGAUACUCGGCUGAAAUUACACAUGGAGAUCUCCACCCCACUCGAAGCUGUCCAAGUUUUAAUGACUGGGAUCCUAUCAGUGAGGUGCAUAUCAGGGGGAAGCCUCGGGAGAUGACUGCAGGUGUCUGUAAGGCGGGGAUUUACAUUUUCUCAGGACAGGCAGCCCAUGGAGAGAGGCCUGCUGGCAGAUCAAAGGCUCCGGCUGUAAAACGAUCUGAAAGAGUCCAGCAUUAGCAUCCAUCAGGGUACCUUGAAAGCUCCCUGAUCAGCCGAGAGGGAAGCUGAGGGCCCCCCAAAGUGAAAGCCCAGUCUGGAGAGGGGUGAUGGAGGGGUGGAGGGAGGCUGGAAAGAGGGAGAGAGAAGGAAAGGAGUAAAAUUCCCAUAAUAAACUACAAAUGUUUUGAUUUCUCUGUUGGAUUUGACCCCCGUCUCAUCCCUUUACUCGUCCUCUCCACUCUCCUUUUCUUUAUAGCGUUUAGACUGAGAACGUCUCCAUCUGUGCACAGAGGCCAGAGUUUUCUACUGGUCCCUGAUGUCUGUGCAUAGUUAUGACUGGUCUGGGUAGUGGACUGAAGGGUGAAAGAAGUGAGGGAUAGUGUGUGGGAGAAAGCUAAACCUGCUCCAAAGUAUCUCUUUAU